CGGUUUGAAUACCACAUGUGUUUUCUGACUUUUGGGAGCCAACUCUUGUUUUUUUUUUGGAACUUACGACUUAUGGCAAGAGAGAAGAAAACUGUGUGACUUUAAAAGAAAACCAGUGAGAUAAAAUCAUAGAAAAUGUAUGAUGAUUCAGGAUGUGGUCAUUUGGUCCUGUUCUGUGGAUGCCCUAAGACAGUGUCUACCCAUCAUUCCAUCUGAUAUCACUUGUUCUGAGCAUAUUUCUCUCUCAAACUUAAACUACAGAGAGCCUGUGGAUAGUGGAUGAAGAGUGUCCUUGGACCAAAUUUCUAGGUCAAAGGUCAGUAUCAAAAUCUACUGUAUAUCUUUAUUUAAAAUCGUAGUCCAGAGUAUAUUUCU